UACGUAGGGGGCUAGCGUUGUCCGGAUUUAUUGGGCGUAAAGAGCGUGUAGGCGGCCAGGUAGGUCCGGUGUGAAAUCUUGAGGCUUAACCUCGAGAUGUCAUCGGAAACCAUCUGGCUAGAGUCCGGAAGAGGAAAGUGGAAUUCCUGGUGUAGCGGUGAAAUGCGCAGAUAUCAGGAAGAACACCAAUGGCGAAAGCAGCUUUCUGGGACGGUACUGACGCUGAGACGCGAAAGCGUGGGGAGCGAACAGG
rnacentral:rRNA from 1 species